UGCCAGCAGCCGCGGUAAUACGGAAGGUGCAAGCGUUAAUCGGGAUUACUGGGCGUAAAGCGCGCGUAGGUGGUUUAUUAAGUGGGAUGUGAAAGCCCCGGGCUUAACCUGGGAACUGCAUUCCAAACUGAUGAACUAGAGUACGAUAGAGGGGGGUAGAAUUCAGAGUGUAGCGGUGAAAUGCGUAGAUAUUCUGAGGAAUACCGGUGGCGAAGGCGGCCCCCUGGAUUGAUACUGACACUGAGGUGUGAAAGCGUGGGUAGCAAACAGGAUUACUUA
rnacentral:rRNA from 1 species